rnacentral:snRNA from 1 species
GGGAUCCAAAGAGAUGGCA